rnacentral:rRNA from 1 species
CAGCAGCCGCGGGAACACGAAGGGUGCAAGCGUUACUCGGAAUUACUGGGCGUAAAGCGUGCGUAGGUGGUGGUUUAAGUCCGUUGUGAAAGCCCUGGGCUCAACCUGGGAAUUGCAGUGGAUACUGGGUCACUAGAGUGUGGUAGAGGAUAGUGGAAUUUCCGGUGUAGCAGUGAAAUGCGUAGAGAUCGGAAGGAACAUCUGUGGCGAAGGCGACUAUCUGGGCCAACACUGACACUGAGGCACGAAAGCGUGGGGAGCAAACAGGAUUAGAUACCCCAGUAGUCCCUGUCUCUUAUAC